CGAUGAGAAAGGGCACAGCUCUCACAUACCUUCUCCGGAGUCCCCUCCUUCCCAUUGCCAGCCCACAAAUACCGUGAAGCCGGGUGACAGAAAACAGCCGGCUGAUCUGAUUAGCAGCUCUGGCGCGCUAAGGGAUUGUUGGAUCGUGCCCCCUGAAGAGGAAACUCUUGUGGAAUCUUCAGGAAACGGUGGGUUACAGCCUUCCAACUGGAAGAAGAUUGUGCUACAUAGGCUUUUUAGAAAGGCUACUGAAACUGCAUGUGUUGUGGAGCAUUGCAGAAGAGGAAAGAUUCUGCCUUGUGGAAAACCAGCUACUGUUUUUCGGUUGCUGUCUCCUGCUUGCUGUCUCCUGCCUGCAUAGGCUACUGGUCUUGUUAGAUGGAUAUGGAAGCUUUUUUUCUUCUACCUCAAGUGCCCUCUAGCGUGCAAUAUCUGUGCAGGUUGCUGUGUAGAAGGAGGUGGAAAGAAGUUAAAAAAAAGAAAUAUGCAUAUUUUCUU